CUAAGCCCUUCCUUUGUCUCACUGCCCCAGAUUUAAUAAACGUACUCUCAAAAAUUACUUUGAAAAUUCAA